UACGGAGGGUGCAAGCGUUGUCCGGAUUUAUUGGGUUUAAAGGGUGCGUAGGCGGCCCUGUAAGUCAGUGGUGAAAUACUGCAGCUUAACUGUAGCAUUGCCAUUGAUACUGUAGGGCUUGAGUACAGAUGAGGUAGGCGGAAUUGAUGGUGUAGCGGUGAAAAUGCAUAGAUACCAUCAAGAACACCGAUUGCGAAGGCAGCUUA
rnacentral:rRNA from 1 species